UACGUAGGGGGCAGGCGUUGUCCGGAAUCAUUGGGCGUAAAGCGCGCGUAGGCGGCCCGGUAAGUCCGCUGUGAAAGUCAAAGGCUCAACCUUUGAAUGUCAGCGGAUACUGCCGGGCUAGAGUCCGGAAGAGGCGAGUGGAACUCCUGGUGUAGCGGUGGAAUGCGCAGAUAUCAGGAAGAACACCAACGGCGAAGGCAGCUCGCUGGGACGGAACUGACGCUAAGGCGCGAAAGCGUGGGGAGCGAACAGG
rnacentral:rRNA from 1 species